rnacentral:lncRNA from 1 species
UUUUUUUUUUAAUUGGACAGUUGCCCAUAUUAACGGAAAUCAAAAGCAGCAUACAGUCAUUCAAUGUCCCAGCACUGGAGUACAGCCCACUGUUUUCCUGUGUGGGGUUCCACUUUAGUUCUUGUCUGUGUGCAUGCAUACAUUUUUACAGAGUUGUGACCACUGCCUUUUUCUGUGACCCUGGUUAUUGACAUCUAGUUUUCCAAGUAACAUUGACACACAUCUGUUCAAAUCAGUUGAGGUUCCCAUCAUGACUGACUCAUUUGGCGGGAAAACCAAAUUUACAUGCCAAUUGGAACAAAGAAGUGUGGGUAUGGGGGAACAGCGGGGGGAAAGAAAUGGUGGGAGAGGAUUCCUUGGACUUACAGAUCAUAAAACAUUUCCCAAUAACAUUUUUAAAGGAUGUAUAAUAUUACACUGAGUGAUUGAUUAUAUAUUACCCUUCUAUUUGGGACACUUGGGUGGUUUUCAAUGCCUAGAGUUUUAAAAUGCAUAUAAAUUACAGCCUUUGAGAGAUGAUUGUAUUUUCUUGAAACAGGAGUCUUCUGUGUCCAGGUCCCCGCCAACAGUGUUGAUGUAGUGUUCCUUUGUUGGGGGGAAAAAAAAUCAGUACUGCUAACUGGAGAUGCUGGAUGCCUUCAAGAAAAACAUUCCUGUGAUUUAAAUUUUUAAAAAAUUAUGUUCAAUUCUGGUUUAUCAAACAACCUGGGUAUCUUGUCUCACAACUUACCGAAAUGUCGAAUUUUAGAUUUAGAGUUAGACUAAGCUCUUCCUAGUUUAAGGGCCACGUCUGUCUAAUAAACUUUAUACAAUGCCACGUGCACGCAGCUUCCUCACUAACAAAUAACAUGUGUUGGGGAAAAAAUGAGAAAAUAGUGGAAAGGUGCCUCCUUGGAGGUGGUAACAUCGGGUCAAUUAAUCAGCUGAGUAUAAAUUGAUUCACUUUAUACAAGUCUCCCACACAUUAUGAUGCACAUUUAGCAACGCUGAAAAACAAUUUAAAAGAAUACCUUAGGGAGUUGUUAAAGAGAAUUUAUAGUCUGGAACGAAUUGCAAUC